CAUGCUAUCACUGAGGUCACCACUGCAGUGCAGCGCCAGUUAAGAUGAACAGUCAGUGGAGGUAUUCCUGGAGGACAGCAUCCACUUACACCCGACAACUAACAACAGAAUCAAUGGACGACUCGGAACUGUACCCAUACCAGUACCAGGCAUCGCUAGAAGAGGAGCUGACGGAAACACGUCAGAAUUCUGACAGUAAUCGGUCAACUAGCCGCUUCCUCACCUUUUAUUCUUAUUGGGCUACACUAGUGUCAUUCUACAAUGCUUCGGAAAGGGGCCGGGCUCUUGGCCUGUAGUUAUCCAAUCGGAUAGUAAAUGAGAGCGGAAGUAA